GGGUACGCGGGAGGCUCCGACGCGCGGCCCACACCACCGGCCGCCGGGACCGCGCCGAGCCACUGGCGAGACCGACCUGCGCGGAG
rnacentral:ncRNA from 1 species